rnacentral:rRNA from 1 species
UGGGGAAUAUUGGACAAUGGGCGCAAGCCUGAUCCAGCCAUGCCGCGUGAGUGAUGAAGGCCCUAGGGUUGUAAAGCUCUUUUGUGCGGGAAGAUAAUGACGGUACCGCAAGAAUAAGCCCCGGCUAACUUCGUGCCAGCAGCCGCGGUAAUACGACGGGGGCUAGCGUUGCUCGGAAUCACUGGGCGUAAAGGGUGCGUAGGCGGGUCUUUAAGUCAGGGGUGAAAUCCUGGAGCUCAACUCCAGAACUGCCUUUGAUACUGGGGAUCUAGAGUUCGGGAGAGGUGAGUGGAACUGCGAGUGUAGAGGUGAAAUUCGUAGAUAUUCGCAGGAACACCAGUGGCGAAGGCGGCUCACUGGCCCGAUACUAACGCUGAGGCACGAAAGCGUGGGGAGCAAACA